AAUUUUGGACAAUGGGCGAAAGCCUGACCCAGCACUGCCGCGUGCAGGACGAAGGCCCUCGGGUUGUAAACUGCUUUUGUUCGGAACGAAAAGCUUUGGGUUAAUACCCUGGAGUCAUGACGGUACCGUAAGAAUAAGCACCGGCUACUUCCGUGCCAGACGCCGCGGUAAUACGUAGUGUGCAAGCGUUAACCGGAAUUACUGGGCGUAAAGCGUGCGCAGACGGUUUGGUAAGACAGAGGUGAAAUCCCCAGGCUCAACCUGGGAACUGCCUUUGUGGCUGCAAGGCUAGAGUACGGCAGAGGGGGGUGGAAUUCCGCGUGCAGCAGUGAAAUGCGUAGAUAUGCGGAGGAACACCGAUGGCGAAGGCAACCCCCUGGGCCUGUACUGACGCUCAUGCACGAAAGCGUGGGGGGCAAACA
rnacentral:rRNA from 1 species